rnacentral:SRP_RNA from 2 species
GCCGGGUAUGGUGGCGCAUGCCUGUAAUCCCGACUACUUGGGAGGCUGAGGCAGGAGAAUCGCUUGAACCUGGGAGGUGGAGGUUGCAGUGAGCUGAGAUUGCACCACUGCACUCCAGCCUGGGUGACAGAGCCAGACUCUGUCUCCA